rnacentral:rRNA from 1 species
GUGGGGAAUCUUGCGCAAUGGGCGAAAGCCUGACGCAGCCAUGCCGCGUGAAUGAUGAAGGUCUUAGGAUUGUAAAAUUCUUUCACCGGGGACGAUAAUGACGGUACCCGGAGAAGAAGCUCCGGCUAACUUCGUGCCAGCAGCCGCGGUAAUACGAAGGGGGCUAGCGUUGCUCGGAAUUACUGGGCGUAAAGGGCGCGUAGGCGGACAGCUUAGUCAGAGGUGAAAGCCCAGGGCUCAACCUUGGAAUUGCCUUUGAUACUGGCUGUCUUGAGUUUGGGAGAGGUGAGUGGAACUCCGAGUGUAGAGGUGAAAUUCGUAGAUAUUCGGAGGAACACCAGUGGCGAAGGCGGCUUACUGGUCCAUUACUGACGCUGAGGUGCGAAAGCGUGGGGAGCAAACAGGAUUAGAUACCCGUGUAGUCC